rnacentral:tRNA from 1 species
AAGAAAUAUCAAUUUAAGCUGCUAACUUAAUAAUAGUGAUUUUAAUCAUUAAUAUUUCUUA